UCCAAUAUGGCGAACUUGGAACAAGCGGCAGUCUUCGCAGAGCCAAAACGAGAAAUUUUGAAUCGUAAUGAUGUCGUAAAGUGGGAAAAGUCACAGGCAUACAGUGAUUACCUUGGAUUUAUCCUCACUUUGAAUGAUGCUGUUAAAGGGAAAAAAAUGUCGGUCGACUGUUCAACAUCAGAGGCUUUAACGAAACUGAUCACUAUGCUUGAAACCAUGGACACUUGGAUUGAUGAAACCCCACCUAUUGACCAGCCACAACGAUUUGGAAACAAAGCCUUCAGAACAUGGUGCAGUAGACUUGAAGAGAAUGCUGAUGUAAUGAUCCAAGGACUUCUUCCAGAAAAAUUUACAGGGGCCAGCAUAGAACUUGCCGCAUAUCUCAAAGAUGGUUUUGGAAAUAAAACAAGAAUAGACUAUGGAACAGGUCAUGAGGCUUGUUUUAUUGCAUUUCUAUGCUGUCUGUUCAAACUCAGAGUGCUGGAUCAAAGUGACUGUGCUUCAAUAGUGUUCAGGGUGUUUCAAAGGUAUUUAGAACUGAUGAGAAGGCUUCAGUCAACAUACAGAAUGGAACCAGCAGGCAGCCAAGGUGUCUGGGGACUAGAUGAUUUCCAGUUUGUUCCAUUUAUUUGGGGGAGCUCUCAGUUGAUUGAUCAUCCAAGUUUAGAACCAAAGGACUUUGUUAAAUCUUCUGUUGUGGAAAGUCAUCACCUUGAUUACAUGUUCUUUGGCUGCAUCAAGUUUAUAAAUGAGAUGAAAAGUGGACCUUUUGCAGAACAUUCUAAUGUUUUAUGGGGUAUCAGUUCUGUUAAAAUAUGGGACAAAGUAAAUUCUGGCCUGAUAAAAAUGUACAAAGCUGAGGUCCUAUCAAAGUUUCCUGUUAUCCAACACUUUGUGUUUGGGACGUUAUUGUCUUUAGAAGAAGCAGAAGUAUUUAAGAAACCUUUGUAAAAAAAAUUGUAAAUAUUUAUAGAGCAAUAAUUUUGACAUUAUUAUUGUUUUAUUUAUCAUGUUUAUAUGGAGCUGAUAACAAUGUAGGUAAAAUUUAAGGUGAUCUUUAGAAGACGUCACUAUCUUUAAAAAAAAUGCCAUAAUCAUGCAAAGGCGUUGGUGUGAAAAAAUCAGUAAUAUUUGUUCGUGUGUGGAACUUUACUGUAACCUGUAUGUAUCUCAGUCCCUUUCAAUUGCACGUUAUGUAUCUUCAUAUUCAGUCAAUUGCUAAGUCAUUGACAGCUCUCUCCAUGACUUCAUUUAACUGCCUACAAAGAUAAGUGGUACGAUAGAGUUUCUGUUGCUGUCAGCACAUCAUUCCGCAGAAACAGUCAGAGACAACAAUUCGAAACAAUGCACGACUCACUGCAGUUCAUGCAUGCGUUACCCACUCUCACGACGAGAGAAAAUAGUACAAACUAGAUAGUCUCUUUAAUAGCGUUUCUAUUUGUGGUUAAGCACGGGAAGUUUUGAUAGACGGAUGCAAGAACAGCACGAAGGUUGGCGAUAAGGAAGCUUGCGCCUUACGGGUCGACAUACUUUUAUUUAUUCCGAAAAUUCAGUUCCUAGACGACCAGCCAUGCUGAUUUCAAACACUUACUUACAAUUUGUUCAGUUUACGCAUCGACACUGACAGUUUGUAUCUACGGCCUUAAAGUGUUAAGUUUGGGGCUGAUUACUGCAGUAACAAGGCGCAAAAUACUUGCAGCUAAACUAAAGUGACCCGAUUCUUUUUUAAAAGAAAAAGGAAAGUAAAACUUUAAAAAGCGUUUCAUGUGCUUGUUUUAAAUAUUAAAGAAUGAUUCACAUCCUCUCUUUGUACUAAGGCCUCGCAGUGAAUCCAUGGUGGACAAGCGUUUGAGCUUGAGCACACGCAAAUCCCUAAAUUAUGGUUGCCUGGGAUACUAAUGUAUGCAGUUGAUCUACAUGUUGCGUCUAUCAUGGAUCUGUCUACGAGCUGGAAUUUGGAAAUGUGAUAGCCUAGCUCUGUCCUUUGAGGUGUGUGUACUUGGCCGUGGAUAUCCAAGAGUAAACCACGCCCUGAAAUGGCCAAAUUUGCUUUGCAGAUGAGUGUAAUGGCGUCUGGGAUAUUUAAAGUUGCUUCAUUGAUUUCUCUGUUGGCAUCCAGUUUUGUUCUCUUCAACAAGUUGUACACAACAUGUGUUCGAUUACCUAUUGUGAAAACAAUUUACAAACAUCUCGGAACUCAGUAUUGUAACUCAAACUAAUAAAACUUCAAUUGUUAGAUUGUCCACUGAGAAGAUCAACUGAACGAUAAAACAAUCAAGCAAGGCAUGAUAUGGAAAUUACAGUAAUGCAAGAAAGCACCGCAAAAAAAGGCCUCCCCAAGAAACUGACCCGAACAGUGUCGGUGCAGAGCAAGUGUGUUUUCUUCUGGGCGAAUACUCAACUUUGUGAUCCACCAGAAUUAUUGAAUUGGGGAGAUCGCAAAAUGUUGGAGAGCGGAGUAGAUAAAUCUAUCUGUGCGAUUGAAAUACUGGGUUAUCCGUUCUUGACUUUCGUAAAUCUUACAAAUCCAGUAAACUGGCUUCGAAUUCAACACACGAUGGGUAGAUUGUGCACUUGCUUGCCAGAUCGUACGCCUGUAGUGUAGGGGUACCAGUAAUAAGAUCUUGGUUCUUGCUCUAAUGCAUACUUAAUGCAAUCAACUCUAAGUUGGAAUUCUGUUUGUAAAACUUGUCGAAGAAAUCCGAGAAAUAAUGAAAGUGUCAGAGAAGGAAUAUGUUGCAUUAUUUCUCGGAUUUCUUCG